CCAUCUUCCUUAAAGUGCUACAACUUCCAGCCUGCCUUAUCUGUUUCUGACAGCACAUGGCUUGUGGCUGAGGAGUGUGUGGGACAUUCCUGUCACCCUAGACAUUCUCACCUGCUGCCAGUGAAUCCUAUGCUGUUGUCACUGCCAACAAUGGAAAACCAGGCUUCCCUGCCUGAACAUGGAUUUCACCGAAGUGGAUUCCCACGUUGUACUUGGCCCCUCUUGUUGAACAUAAUGAUCCCGUGAUGUAUUCAUGCCUUUUUGUAUAUCAAUAGUCUUUCUAACUGUUCAGUUGCAUUACAGUUGUCUGACUGUAUCACGACUUGUUUGUGCCUCCUCUAGCUGAUAGACAUCCGACAUUUGGAUUGUUUCCAGGUAUUUGGGUUUAAUGGUGCAAAUACUGUAAUUGAUGUUCUGAAUUAAUUGAGGAACUGUAUGCAUACAUAGUUUUACUUUGGUCUUGAGCAACGGGUAGUCAAUUUAUGAUUCUACUAUCAUCUUUAUGCCCUGGGGUGAGAGUCUAAUUUCAAGAUAUACUUAUAUAAUAGACAGAUAUCAAGAUGGCUGAGUAAUUAGACGAUUUGUAGUGCUUAAUGAAAACACAAUUAGAAAGACAAAUUUAGCAAAACACUUUUUCUCAGAAUCAAAGCAUGCUUUCAGUGGGGUACCCCAGAAGACAGUUAGAAAGUGUCUGAAUCACUUGGGUCUCUCUUGUCACUUUUGGUAUUUAUCACAUGUCCACUG
rnacentral:lncRNA from 1 species